CUGAGCUCUGCCUCUGGGCUGUACCAGGCUGGCAGCUCUCUGCUUGUGGACUGAGUUCAGGUGGCAUGUAAAAGAGACCACACUUUUCAUUUGCAAGCUAAAUUAGCCCAUGAAGUUGGGUCUUCAGUUACAUGUAAAUGGUAGUAAGGCUUUAGACAAAAAGCAUUGUCUAUACAUUGACAUCCUUUCCCAAACUGUCAGUGACUUUGUUCAGUUGCACAUUACCCUUGUUCUGCGUAUCUCUGGUACAGGACGCAGAUUUGGAGCGUGUGACGCUGCGUGGUCCUGAAAUGUGUAAAUUCAGCCGUCACGCUCAGAGAUGCUGAGCCAGAUGCAAAUUGCAGGCUCAGGUUGGCAUCAAGUCCACCAUCACCUUCAAAUUUUUUUAAACUUUAUGCUACUUUUUCACUGCAUACAGCAAGUAUCCCCUUUUUCUCCAAGUAGUCUCACUGAUACAGGCUCAGUCUUACAAGUCUUCUGCUCUAAUCUAGAAGAGGGUGUGUUUUCCUGUGUGGUGUAUGUUAGCGUUGUCACAGGCAUUACAUAGAGAUACCUUACACAUCUUUUGAAAGUUUCCUCGCAAGUUGUCAAUGUUGGUGGAUGUCCACAGUGCUUUCCAAUGGUUCACAAUUAAUGUUUAGUGUAAUCAGUCUCGCACGUAUCUUUAAUAAAAUGCCUCAGACUGGAUGGUUAUUCACUGCCAGCAUACAUUUGAAAACGUGCAUUUAGAAAGGCAAGUGCUUUUGCACACGGCAGUUCUCUGGUCGUUUGUGAGACCCUGCUCGUGCCCGCAGUGCCGAGGAGUCGUGCCUGUGAUGCUUUGCUGGUGUGAGGUUUCUGCGUUUCAGCAUGUGCAACAGGAUUUCCCACAUCUGCAAACUUGGCCCAAGCAAUCCAGCAAAGCAGAAUUUAGCCUUGGAGAAUGAAAGCUGAUUUACCCCCAGGCUUGGAGCAUACCAAGAAUGAAGAGAGGUACUUGCACACAAAUCAAUACUACUUUUCAAGAAGAUAUGCAGGACGUGGUUUCGGGAUUUUUUUCCCAUCUCUUCAUUCUGUCCAAUAUGUUAAGUAGCUCGUUUGUUACUCUAACCCCCUACAAAUGAUUGUCAGUAAUAAUUCUGUAAAACUAUGAAUCAACUCUGCAUGACUUUGUGCAAAUAGACUGAGUAAUUUCUUUGUUCUUUUCUUCUUACUUUGUAAUUGGAGUCUGUAAAAGCCCAAAGGUUUGGUCUUGUGGAAAGUAUGAUUCAUUUAUUGGUGUCUGUGCCGACUAGUUAUCUUUCAGUAAUUCCAGAGUGCUGCUACAAGCCAAGAGUGAUUCAUACAUGGCUAAGUGCACAAACAAAUGGGGUCAUGGCCAUCUGCAGAAACUUUUCUAGUCUAUUUAUGGUAUCGGAGAAAGAAGUGGGUGUAUUAAGGAUGAUGGAAUAGGUGUCAAUUACAUUAGUGAAUAUAACCGGUUAAGUAACGCUAACCAUUACUCAAAGCCACAUCUGCUCAUUGCUGGAGAUCACAACAGUAAGUCCUAUUUAAGUGUUAACGUAGGGCUGAUAUACGAGAGAUGGAUUGUGUCUAGCUUGCCUCCUAAGGAGCUUGCCAUGCUAAGUGCUGUGAUAGUCUCUUUUACCUUGACAUGUAGAUGUUAACUUAACAACUUGAGUAGUUGUAGUAGCAAAGUUGGCUCUUUACUGUUGCAGAUCUCAGUCAUUAUAUGCUUUAUGUGCAGAAUUUGGACUAAUAAUUAAUGAACUUGUUGUUAGUGGUCAGUGGUAGGGUUUCGCUUUUGCACACCACACAGAAUGGCUGUGCAACAUCUUAGCAGACAGUGGUGGUCAGGUGAAUCAGUUUUCCUUCCAAAUGCAUCUUCAGUGCUUUAAAAUCUCAGCAGGAAGACAAGCUGCAUCUCUACGAGGUAGCCUGCCUCUUCUGUCCCAUUUCAUUGAUUGGGAGAAUUAAUUUUCCCCUUUGUAACUCUGGUAACAAACCAGCCCUGUGUGCAGCCACAUGGGGAUUGCUGUGUACAGUCUGCUUCCACCGUGCUCACAAGUGAAGGAGCUGGGCGCCAGGGCAGGCACUUGGGUGCCUGAGUUGAUCGUGUGAAUGGAGUUUGAGACUAGUGAUAGAAAAUACUGGGGGCAAGAAGCACUCCUGAGGUGUAUGGAUGAGGGCAGCUGGGGGGCUCACUCCAGACCCCUUCCUCACCCUGCCUGCUCUUCAGUCCUGUGUGCUGCUGCUGGUUUUGCACCUGAGAUGUGUAUCCAACAGCAUCUUGCACUUGCAGAGCAUGUGGUGGUCUCACAGUGCUUUACAAACAUCCCACAUCCACAGAACGGAUGAGCGUUACUGCAGAGGCGAGCUGGAGGCACGGGUGGACCGGUGCUGUGAGGUUUGGAAGUGGCUGUGGCCCCAUUCCCUGAGCCCUGAGAGAUCUGUGUGGUCACUGCUCGGUUGUGUUUGAUUUCAGAGGACUUGACUGGAGCACAGAGCUCAUGGACUCAAAUUUCUGUAAAUUGAAUUUAAGCUUCGGCGCUCGCCAAAAAUAUGGAGUAAUUUGGCAAUGUUGCUGUUGUCCUUUUACUGACGUUUUGAACACGGUGACCGUUUCUGCUGCACCCUCACUGCAUGUGCUCUCACAGAAGGAGACACGGCCCUGGCUGAUAUGCCAAGUAUGCUGCGGAGGGGGAAGUGACCCAGACUUUUGCCCAAAGGACUGAUGAGCCUCUCCUGAUGUCUGAGCAGCUUUCUUCUUCUGCCCUUGCUUUAUUUAAGUCAACAGAUUGUGUAAGCCACAUGCUAGAUUUACCUGCAGGGCAAGUGGGGAUGGAAGCAGUGCCAUUUGGAUGGAUUCCCAAAAGACAUCUAACCGCUCAGCGUUAAGACUAACAUUUCCAAGCCUGAGUCCUUACAACAGUCCUCCGGAUUGUGCUCACCGCCUCCUCCAUCCGUGUGCUGAGGACGAGUCCCAGGGAAGCUGCCUGCUGCGGGUUGGGCUCUGUACUGAGCGAGCUUGGAAAUUCUACCCUUUAGUGGUUUCUGUUUAAUAUUGUCAUUAAUACUGUUAUCAAGAAAUGCCCCCAAAGUGAAGCUGUGCCCGAGCCUUCCGUACCCUCCCGUUUCCCGCAGUGCUGGGGGCACUGGCUGCCCAUUAGAGCACAGGGAUGAAAGCCACAGCUCAGCAGCUUCAGUGACCCAGCGUUGGGCUUGUUCUUGGUGCACGCUCCAGACUUGAAACCAGGCUGGAUUUCCUUGUGCUCUUCACAAGUAUCAGUGCAAUAAGACUCAGUUCCUCAAGAGUGGGAGAGUUUUCCCCGCGCUGGCCUGGCUGCAAGGGCUUGGCUUCAUUAAAGCGGAUGUCUGUGCUGCUUUCCUGGAGGGCAGGUCCUGCUCCUUCUGUGGUUUUUUUCCUUCCUUCCACCAUUAUUCCAUCUUACCAAGGGUGGACUCUUCACUUCAGUAACUUGGAACAGCAUAUAUAGGUUAGGCUUAUCACUGAGCUUUGAAAAUUCCUUGGCCUCCUAGGUGCUGCCUUUGGGACAUGUAAGGAACAACAUGAUUAUGGACACUUGCUUCACACAAUUCUGAGUAAAAUUACCUUAAAUUGUAAUAAUUUCCAUUAUAAUAAAUAGGAAUCUCACUGUUACAGUUACACUUGUAUUAUUGCAGUCAGACUCUGCUUGAAUUGGAAGAUGCAUUUUUGAGUUCAGCGUCUCCCUCUCCAGCGUGCACAGACACACACACGAGGUGUGUAACACUUAAUAAUG